AUAUUGAUGCAGCAUGGCU
rnacentral:piRNA from 2 species